rnacentral:rRNA from 1 species
ACGCUGGCGGCGUGCCUAAUACAUGCAAGUAGAACGCUGAAGAGAGGAGCUUGCUCUUCUUGGAUGAGUUGCGAACGGGUGAGUAACGCGUAGGUAACCUGCCUUGUAGCGGGGGAUAACUAUUGGAAACGAUAGCUAAUACCGCAUAACAAUGGAUGACACAUGUCAUUUAUUUGAAAGGGGCAAUAGCUCCGCUACAAGAUGGACCUGCGUUGUAUUAGCUAGUAGGUGUGGUAACGGCUCACCUAGGCGACGAUACAUAGCCGACCUGAGAGGGUGAUCGGCCACACUGGGACUGAGACACGGCCCAGACUCCUACGGGAGGCAGCAGUAGGGAAUCUUCGGCAAUGGGGGCAACCCUGACCGAGCAACGCCGCGUGAGUGAAGAAGGUUUUCGGAUCGUAAAGCUCUGUUGUAAGUCAAGAACGAGUGUGAGAGUGGAAAGUUCACACUGUGACGGUAGCUUACCAGAAAGGGACGGCUAACUACGUGCCAGCUGCCGCGGUAAUACGUAGGUCCCGAGCGUUGUCCGGAUUUAUUGGGCGUAAAGCGAGCGCAGGCGGUUUGAUAAGUCUGAAGUUAAAGGCUGUGGCUCAACCAUAGUUCGCUUUGGAAACUGUCGAACUUGAGUGCAGAAGGGGAGAGUGGAAUUCCAUGUGUAGCGGUGAAAUGCGUAGAUAUAUGGAGGAACACCGGUGGCGAAAGCGGCUCUCUGGUCUGUAACUGACGCUGAGGCUCGAAAGCGUGGGGAGCGAACAGGAUUAGAUACCCUGGUAGUCCACGCCGUAAACGAUGAGUGCUAGGUGUUGGAUCCUUUCCGGGAUUCAGUGCCGCAGCUAACGCAUUAAGCACUCCGCCUGGGGAGUACGACCGCAAGGUUGAAACUCAAAGGAAUUGACGGGGGCCCGCA